AUACGUAGGGUGCGAGCGUUAAUCGGAAUUACUGGGCGUAAAGCGUGCGCAGGCGGUGAUGUAAGACAGAUGUGAAAUGCCCGGGCUCAACCUGGGACCUGCAUUUGUGACUGCAUCGCUAGAGUACGGGAGAGGGGGAUGGAAUUCCGCGGGUAGCAGUGAAAUGCGUAGAUAUGCGGAGGAACACCGAUGGCGAAGGCAAUCCCCUGGACCUGUACUGACGCUCAUGCACGAAAGCGUGGGGAGCAAACAGGAUUAGAUACCCUGGUAGUCCACGCCCUAAACGAUGUCAACUGGUUGUUGGGUCUUCACUGACUCAGUAACGAAGCUAACGCGUGAAGUUGACCGCCUGGGGAGUACGGCCGCAAGGUUGAAACUCAAAUGAAUUGGCGGGG
rnacentral:rRNA from 1 species